GCAGCACAUGUCAGUUGGAGAAGGAGAGCUCUGGAGUGAGAGAUUUCCCCUCUGAACUUCCCUCUCAGGCAAGAAAGAACUCUUGAGGGGAAAGAACUACUCCAUGGGGUGGAAGAUAUAAAGACUGCUAGGAUUAUGAGAGAUUAUAUGCCUCAAGCUGCACUCUGAGCCCAUCACCUUUCUAUCUGGAGAUGAGAAAACUGAGGCAGAGAGGGACUUGAUAUAAUGGGAAAAGCACUGGAUUUGGAGUCAGAAGACUUGGGUUUAAAUCAAGCUUCUGCUGCUAACUAACUCUAUAAUCUUGGAUCUCGCCCAGGAUUUUUCAACUUGGUCUACAAUAAGAGAAGAAAAAGACACCCCACCUGGACCAACCUCCACCCCUAUUUCUCUUUUAACCUUAUUUUCCUCAGGCAAACACACUCCUGUGAAGUUAAUAUUGCUGGUAACUACAGGGGGAGACAGGAGUGGGGAAGCUAGGUGGCUCAAUGGAGCACCAGGCCCAGAGUUGGGAGGACCUGGAUUCAGAUCUGAUCUUAGA